CCAGGGUGGACCGGAGACUGAGGCUGGAGACCAGGGGGACACAGCACUGGACCAGAGGACCAGGAAUCCAUGUCUGGAGGAGCCGUGCUGAAGGAGAUGUUGGAGGAGCCGAGCUGAUGGAGGACCCGUGCUGAAGGAGCUGUUGGAGGAGUCGUGCUGAAGGCCCUGCCUUGUGGAGGCCCUGCCUGGUGAAGGACGUCUGUCAUGGGACUAGGACUCUGUCUGAGGAGAGCUGCUGGUGGAGCUGAGACGCUGGAG